rnacentral:rRNA from 1 species
GGGUUUNUUCCUGGGCUCAGGGACGAACGCUGGCGGCGUGCCUAAUACAUGCAAGUCGAGCGGAUCUAAAGGAGCUUGCUCCUUUAGAUUAGCGGCGGACGGGUGAGUAACACGUGGGCAACCUGCCCUGCAGAUUGGGAUAACUCCGGGAAACCGGGGCUAAUACCGAAUAAUAUCGAAGAUUACAUGAUCUUCUUUUGAAAGACGGCUUCGGCUGUCACUGCAGGAUGGGCCCGCGGCGCAUUAGCUAGUUGGUGAGGUAACGGCUCACCAAGGCAACGAUGCGUAGCCGACCUGAGAGGGUGAUCGGCCACACUGGGACUGAGACACGGCCCAGACUCCUACGGGAGGCAGCAGUAGGGAAUCUUCCGCAAUGGACGAAAGUCUGACGGAGCAACGCCGCGUGAGUGAUGAAGGUUUUCGGAUCGUAAAACUCUGUUGUCAGGGAAGAACAUGUACGGGAGUAACUGUCCGUACCUUGACGGUACCUGACCAGAAAGCCACGGCUAACUACGUGCCAGCAGCCGCGGUAAUACGUAGGUGGCAAGCGUUGUCCCGGGAAUUAUUGGGCGUAAAGCCGCGCGCAGGCGGGUCUUUUAAGGUCUGAUGUGGAAAGCCCACGGCUCAACCGGUGGAAGGUUCAUUGGAAACUGGAAGACUUGGAGUGCAAGAAGAGAAGAGCGGGAAUUCC